UACGUAGGGUACGAGCGUUGUCCGGAAUUAUUGGGCGUAAAGAGCUCGUAGGUGGUUGGUCACGUCUGCUGUGGAAACGCAACGCUUAACGUUGCGCGUGCAGUGGGUACGGGCUGACUAGAGUGUAGUAGGGGAGAGUGGAAUUCCUGGUGUAGCGGUGAAAUGCGCAGAUAUGAGGAAGAACACCGGUGGCGAAGGCGGGACUCUGGGGUGUAACUGACACUGAGGAGCGAAAGCAUGGGGAGCGAACAGG
rnacentral:rRNA from 1 species